AGCAGUCGCCGCGGUAAUACGGAGGGAGCUAGCGUUGUUCGGAAUUACUGGGCGUAAAGCGCACGUAGGCGGCUUUGUAAGUUAGAGGUGAAAGCCUGGAGCUCAACUCCAGAAUUGCCUUUAAGACUGCAUCGCUUGAAUCCGGGAGAGGUGAGUGGAAUUCCGAGUGUAGAGGUGAAAUUCGUAGAUAUUCGGAAGAACACCAGUGGCGAAGGCGGCUCACUGGACCGGCAUUGACGCUGAGGUGCGAAAGCGUGGGGAGCAAACAGGAUUAGAUACCCGCGUAGUCCCUGUCUCUUAUAC
rnacentral:rRNA from 1 species